CAGUCGCCGCGGUAAUACGAAGGGUGCAAGCGUUACUCGGAAUUACUGGGCGUAAGGGGUGCGUAGGCGGUUGUUUAAGUCUGUUGUGAAAUCCCCGGGCUCAACCUGGGAAUGGCAAUGGAAACUGGACGGCUAGAGUGUGUCAGAGGAUGGUGGAAUUCCCGGUGUAGCGGUGAAAUGCGUAGAGAUCGGAAGGAACAUCUGUGGCGAAGGCGACUAUCUGGGCCAACACUGACACUGAGGCACGAAAGCGUGGGGAGCAAACAGGAUUAGAUACCCCCGUAGUCCCUGUCUCUUAUAC
rnacentral:rRNA from 1 species